CAGUCGCCACGGUAAUACGAAGGGUGCAAGCGUUACUCGGAAUUACUGGGCGUAAAGCGUGCGUAGGUGGUGGUUUAAGUCCGUUGUGAAAGCCCUGGGCUCAACCUGGGAAUUGCAGUGGAUACUGGGUCACUAGAGUGUGGUAGAGGAUAGUGGAAUUUCCGGUGUAGCAGUGAAAUGCGUAGAGAUCUGGAGGAAUACCGGUGGCGAAGGCGGCCCCCUGGACAAAGACUGACGCUCAGGUGCGAAAGCGUGGGGAGCAAACAGGAUUAGAUACCCCUGUAGUCCCUGUCUCUUAUAC
rnacentral:rRNA from 1 species